rnacentral:rRNA from 1 species
GUCGAACGGUAACAGGUUAAGCUGACGAGUGGCGAAUGGGUGAGUAAUAUAUCGGAACGUGCCCAGUCGUGGGGGAUAACUGCUCGAAAGAGCAGCUAAUACCGCAUACGACCUGAGGGUGAAAGCGGGGGAUCGCAAGACCUCGCGCGAUUGGAGCGGCCGAUAUCAGAUUAGGUAGUUGGUGGGGUAAAGGCCCACCAAGCCAACGAUCUGUAGCUGGUCUGAGAGGACGACCAGCCACACUGGGACUGAGACACGGCCCAGACUCCUACGGGAGGCAGCAGUGGGGAAUUUUGGACAAUGGGCGCAAGCCUGAUCCAGCCAUGCCGCGUGCGGGAAGAAGGCCUUCGGGUUGUAAACCGCUUUUGUCAGGGAAGAAAAGGUUCUGGUUAAUACCUGGGACUCAUGACGGUACCUGAAGAAUAAGCACCGGCUAACUACGUGCCAGCAGCCGCGGUAAUACGUAGGGUGCAAGCGUUAAUCGGAAUUACUGGGCGUAAAGCGUGCGCAGGCGGUUAUGCAAGACAGAGGUGAAGUCCCCGGGCUCAACCUGGGAACUGCCUUUGUGACUGCAUGGCUAGAGUACGGUA